CUGUUUCCCAUUUACUGUUCUCCUUGGGCUGGGCUGGAUGCCUGAUACUCUCAUCUUUCCCCAGAGACAGCCAACUGCCCAGGCCUGAGGAUUCAGCCCACAUCUCCAGGGAAGGAGAGAAGGUUCUGGCCCAGAUCUGUUCCACUCACUAGCUGUGUGACCUUGGACAAGUCCCUUAACAUCCACCUCCCUCAGUUUCCAGACUUUGGAAGAGGGAUGAAAAGAUCCAGCAGGCACAGUGCUGGGCUGAGGAAAUGAGGUCCAGUGUCUAAUGCAUGGUCUUGGACUUGGUGUCUAUUCCACCACAUGUGGCUGAAUAAAAGGGCUCCCAGAGGCUGAAGACAGGUGCUCCAGACUUAAGGGAAUUCCAAGCCAAGGCUAAGAGCCACUGGAGGCAGCUGGCACAUCCUUCAAGAAGAAAACAUGCUGGAGCUUGAGGAAAAAAGGCAGCUGUGGCUGGGGAUCCAAGCUAUUAGCUCUAGGAGCAGUGGUGGCCACAGAGGUGGCCCCCAGUUUGCCAACAUGAAGAGAGAGGAGGCAGGGCUGGGAGUAGAGGUGGUGGUGUGUGGAGCCACUAGGCCUGCCUGCUAGAUGGGAAAGUGGGCCCAAAGAGACUCUUGCUUCCUGGUCCCCUGUGUCUUGCUACCAGAGUGGCAGGAGUGGUUGGUGGCUGAUGGGGUAAGCACCUCAGAACAAAGCUCCUGGCCCCAGGAGAGACAAAGCUGGCAGUGACAUACCUCUCUCUUAUUUCUAUCUACGUGAGGGGGUGCUUUCUGAAAAGGACUGGGAUGCUGAGAAGACCUGGGAUCCAGAGCUCUAGGCAAAGGUCACAGGGUACCAGACAGAGCGAGCUAUCUGAGCCCACUCUGCCUGCACUCCAACAUUAGACGGCUAUACAUGCCAAAGAGUGCCUCUGGCCUCUGAACAGUUCACCCUCCACCACCUGCUCUCCUCUGUGGGGUGGAGGCCGGAAGGGAAUCAGGUUCUGGCCUCUGAAACUGGCCAGAACCCAACAAUGAGUCAUGGGCCUCAAAGGGAGAGGGCCCAACUUUUAAAAAUCUCAGUUCAUGGCGGUGAGAAGGACAGUGCCCUGUAGGGAGCUACAGUAUGGAAAGUUGCUCCCUGGGGGGAAGACAGGCAAAUUUGUUACCCUGCCUCAUGCACACCAUGGCUUUUCCUUCUAUGAUCAUUUUUUGAGCACACAGCUCAACACAGACUGAAAGCAUGUGUGUCUGCUGGUGGCUGCCUUGUUUGAUGCUCCGACUGACAAGGGGGCUCGGGUGAGGGUAAGGAGAGGGACCGAGUGAGAACAGCCUGCUUAACACAGCUGCCAACAGGCUCCAAAGUGGCUCAAGCUCUACUGCUGGGAAGUGCUAAUUGGUUCUCAGAAGUGUGAGGCCAGCACAGAGCCAGCCAGGGCUGAGGCUGGCUGAGCUACACCUGACGUAGGUGAAGGAAGGGGCCGGUGGUGUGUUGGCACAGCCAGAGUGGCAGGGAGCCACGAGCGUAAUAGCAGCUGGCCUAGAAGCCCAAGGCCGGCGUGCUUGUCCCCAGAACAAGAGCUUGCAGCAGUGAGUCUCUCUGGUAGUCUUUUCCAUCUAGGCCACCCUGUGUACUUUCUCUGGAAGAACAGCCUGGGUCCUCUGAGUUUUACAGAAGACGGAGGUCAGGGGACUUGGUAAGAGCAGCUCAGCUUGUUGGAAACAGUGACCCAGAUCAAGGACGUACUGCUCCUGCCUGAGGAGGCUCCUCACACCACCAAGGGAAUGUUCCCCAGGCAGAUAAGAGGGUACUCCUUUGGAGAGGGGAGGGUCCUUUCUCAGCACUACCAGUCUGUACGGAGGGACCAAGUGAUAGGACCCGCAGUCCUAUUUCCCCCGUAGAAUGCCAGGACUCUUACCUUCACCAGGACCCGAAGCUGCUGUCCCGGGCUCCUGGAUUUCCCUCUCCGUCUGUGUUUCGGCAUUCUGCAGCUGAAGGGCCAGGGUCUGGGUGCCCUGAGAUGUCACAGAGGUGGUGGGGUUCCGGGGCUGCAGCCCAAUUGCAUUCAUCAGACCCAUGUCUCUGUCUGUCCUCCACGUGGCUCUGCUGGUUCUAGGAGAAAGAAAGGCAGACUGAAGCCAGGCAGGGCUCGGGACAGCAUGCCUCACAGAGUUCCGCUUGUUCCCUGCCAAUCCUCAGGGCACACAGUCCCCUGCACCAGGGCCUGCAGGCUCAGAGGACAAGCCCUGAGCUCGGCAGCUCCCCCCUCUCCACCAUGGCAGAUAACGCCCCCCGGAUCAGGUCAGGCUCUGGAACAAUGAAAGGCUGCAGAACCAUCCAAUUUUGCAGACCAGCUAACUGAGUCACUCAUUAAGCAGUGAGUGUCUUUCUGGGGAGGCAGAGAUGGCUGAUCUUAGGACUCUUAUCUACAUACAUUCAGGAAGCCAUCAGCUGACAUCGUUGGACAAAGGGUGAGCAGGAGAAGAGGGAUCUUUUCUCUCUUAACUUUUCCUUCCUUCUAACUACAUGCUGACAAGAUUCCAGUUUAAAUUCUUGGAAUUUCCACUGUAUCUCCAUUUUGGAGGAAAAGCCCUUCUGGGCUCCUUCAGGGCCUUCCCACAAGAGAGCCGUGAAGGUAGGCAGCACAAGCUGACCUACGAGUAAGGGCCAGGCCCCCCCACCCCAGGAUAGCUACAGCUGGCAGCAGAGGGAGCCCAGGACUUCCAUGGCAGGCACCAGCCCCUCAUUUCUAGCUGCUUCUGGGGACUCCUCCAGCUGUGCCCUGUAGGAAGCAGUGGUUGCCUCGGGUGUAUUAUUGACCCAGCACUUUUUCUCAAAAUUUUCAGUCCUCAUUAAUAAAUUAAGUGAUAAGAGGAUCAGUACCAGGUUCCUACUUUCUAACUGGCCCCUGGGGAGGGUCUGUCUCUGGGCUACAGCUCUGAGCAGCAUGGUCCCUCAGGCACUGUCCACAGAUUCUCCUUGGACCACGAGCACACUUCUUGGGGACAGCAUCCCCCCUCUAGUGCUCCCUCUUCUCUCCUCACCCCGCUGUGUCCAGACACCAUGGCCAGGAUGGGAAAAAGCCACAGGAUGUCCUAGUUUGUUCUCAAUCAAGACUAAGAGCAGA